rnacentral:rRNA from 1 species
GAUGAACGCUGGCGGCGUGCCUAAUACAUGCAAGUCGAGCGAACGGACGAGAAGCUUGCUUCUCUGAUGUUAGCGGCGGACGGGUGAGUAACACGUGGAUAACCUACCUAUAAGACUGGGAUAACUUCGGGAAACCGGAGCUAAUACCGGAUGAUAUUUUGAACCGCAUGGUUCAAAAGUGAAAGACGGUCUUGUUGUCACUUAUAGAUGGAUCCGCGCUGCAUUAGCUAGUUGGUAAGGUAACGGCUUACCAAGGCAACGAUGCAUAGCCGACCUGAGAGGGUGAUCGGCCACACUGGAACUGAGACACGGUCCAGACUCCUACGGGAGGCAGCAGUAGGGAAUCUUCCGCAAUGGGCGAAAGCCUGACGGAGCAACGCCGCGUGAGUGAUGAAGGUCUUCGGAUCGUAAAACUCUGUUAUUAGGGAAGAACAUAUGUGUAAGUAACUGUGCACAUCUUGACGGUACCUAAUCAGAAAGCCACGGCUAACUACGUG